rnacentral:rRNA from 1 species
GAUGAACGCUGGCGGCGUGCCUAAUACAUGCAAGUCGAGCGAACAGACGAGGAGCUUGCUCCUCUGACGUUAGCGGCGGACGGGUGAGUAACACGUGGAUAACCUACCUAUAAGACUGGGAUAACUUCGGGAAACCGGAGCUAAUACCGGAUAAUAUAUUGAACCGCAUGGUUCAAUAGUGAAAGACGGUUUUGCUGUCACUUAUAGAUGGAUCCGCGCCGCAUUAGCUAGUUGGUAAGGUAACGGCUUACCAAGGCAACGAUGCGUAGCCGACCUGAUAGGGUGGUCGGCCACACUGGAACUGAGACACGGUCCAGACUCCUACGGGAGGCAGCAGUAGGGAAUCUUCCGCAAUGGGCGAAAGCCUGACGGAGCAACGCCGCGUGAGUGAUGAAGGUCUUCGGAUCGUAAAACUCUGUUAUUAGGGAAGAACAAAUGUGUAAGUAACUAUGCACGUCUUGACGGUACCUAGUCAGAAAGCCACGGCUAACUACGUG